UACGUAGGGUGCAAGCGUUAAUCGGAAUUACUGGGCGUAAAGCGUGCGCAGGCGGUUUUGUAAGUCUGUCGUGAAAUCCCCGGGCUCAACCUGGGAAUUGCGAUGGAGACUGCAAGGCUGGAGUCUGGCAGAGGGGGGUAGAAUUCCACGUGUAGCAGUGAGAUGCGUAGAGAUGUGGAGGAACACCGAUGGCGAAGGCAGCCCCCUGGGUCAAGACUGACGCUCAUGCACGAAAGCGUGGGGAGCAAACAGG
rnacentral:rRNA from 1 species